GUUGAUUGGGAAACUCAUCAAAUUUUAAUGAAAUACCGAGACAAGCUUCGUCGCCUAAUGGCGGGCCCCAUCCUCGCAAGAGGAGGCUUAACUAGCCCAGGCGGAUUACAAAGGGCGGCAGGCACUCAAAUCCUGUCAUUCGGAGUUUCAUCGCAUCCUUUG
rnacentral:sRNA from 1 species